rnacentral:misc_RNA from 1 species
GGCCUUGUCGACAUGUCUAACCCACCCACUUCUCGUACCAAAGACUUCUUCGCCUCUCCUGCUCUCUCUCUCAGUCUUGCUGGAAUAUUCCGCAGCGCCAAUGCAGACGGGGCGGCGGAGGCUUCAGAGAUGGAGGUCGAGGAAGGGGAAGAGGGGAGUGGAGGAGAAAGAGGAAGAAGAGAAGGUACUGUUGAGAUUUGAGAUUAGCAGUGAGAACUCAGGGCUUAUGAGAUCAAGAUCAGAUGAUGAGUUUGAAGGAGAAGGAGAACAUGAUGAUGAUGAUGAUGCUGUUGCAGGUGAUGACAAGAACAAGAAGAAGAAGAGAAAGAAAUAUCACAG